rnacentral:rRNA from 1 species
AUGAACGCUGGCGGCGUGCCUAAUACAUGCAAGUCGAGCGAACAGACGAGGAGCUUGCUCCUCUGACGUGAGCGGCGGACGGGUGAGUAACACGUGGAUAACCUACCUAUAAGACUGGGAUAACUUCGGGAAACCGGAGCUAAUACCGGAUAAUAUAUUGAACCGCAUGGUUCAAUAGUGAAAGACGGUUUUGCUGUCACUUAUAGAUGGAUCCGCGCCGCAUUAGCUAGUUGGUAAGGUAACGGCUUACCAAGGCAACGAUGCGUAGCCGACCUGAGAGGGUGAUCGGCCACACUGGAACUGAGACACGGUCCAGACUCCUACGGGAGGCAGCAGUAGGGAAUCUUCCGCAAUGGGCGAAAGCCUGACGGAGCAACGCCGCGUGAGUGAUGAAGGUCUUCGGAUCGUAAAACUCUGUUAUUAGGGAAGAACAAAUGUGUAAGUAACUAUGCACGUCUUGACGGUACCUAAUCAGAAAGCCACGGCUAACUACGUG